rnacentral:rRNA from 1 species
CCUACGGGUGGCAGCAGUGGGGAAUAUUGGGCAAUGGGCGCAAGCCUGACCCAGCAACGCCGCGUGAAGGAAGAAGGCUUUCGGGUUGUAAACUUCUUUUCUGAGGGACGAAGAAAGUGACGGUACCUCAGGAAUAAGCCACGGCUAACUCCGUGCCAGCAGCCGCGGUAAUACGUAGGGGGCAAGCGUCAUGCGGAUUUACUGGGUGUAAAGGGCGUGUAGGCGGGCAAGCAAGUCAGAUGUGAAAACGCAGGGCUCAACCCUGGGACUGCUCUUGAAACUGGUUUGCUUGAGUGCUGGAGAGGCAAGCGGAAUUCCGUGUGUAGCGGUGAAAUGCGUAGAUAUACGGAGGAACACCAGUGGCGAAGGCGGAUUGCUGGACAGUAACUGACGCUGAGGCGCGAAAGCGUGGGGAGCAAACAGGAUUAGAUACCCGGGUAGUC